rnacentral:rRNA from 1 species
GAUGAACGCUGGCGGCGUGCCUAAUACAUGCAAGUCGAGCGAACAGACGAGGCUCUUGCUCCUCUGACGUUUGGGGCGCGCGGGUGAGUAACACGUGGAUCCCCUCCCUGUCAGUCUGGGAUAUCUACGGAAAACCGGAGCAAAUCCCGUAUGAUCUAUUGCACCGCGUUGUGCAAUGGUGAGAGACGGUUUUGCUGGCUCUUCUCGCUGGUUACGGGCCGCAUUGGCUGGUUGGUAAGGUCACGGCUUACCAAGGCAACCAUGCGUGGCCGACGGGCGAGAGGGGUCGGCGACACGGGAACUGAGCCGCGGUCAAGACGCCUACGGGAGGCAGCAGUAGGGAACCUGCCGCAAUGGUCGAAAGCUUGACGGAGCAACGCCGAGUGAGUGAUGAAGGUCCUCGGAUCGUAAUACUCUGUUAUUAGGGAAGAACAAAUGUGUAAGGAAACAUGCCCGUCGUGACGGUACCUAAUCAGAAAGCCACGGCUAACUACGUG